GGGCACGUGGCGAAAUGGUAUCGCGCUUGACUUCGACUCCUCCCAGAGUGUAUCAAGAGAUUAUAGGUUCGAGCCCUGUCGUGCUCG
rnacentral:tRNA from 1 species